CAGUCGAGGGGCAUCGGGAGGGAAGCUUGCUUUCCUUGCCGGCGACCGGCGCACGGGUGAGUAACACGUAUGCAACCUGCCCUCUUCAGGGGGACAACCUUCCGAAAGGGAGGCUAAUCCCGCGUAUAUCGGUUUCGGGCAUCCGUUAUCGAGGAAAGAUUCAUCGGAAGAGGAUGGGCAUGCGGCGCAUUAGCUAGACGGCGGGGUAACGGCCCACCGUGGCGACGAUGCGUAGGGGUUCUGAGAGGAAGGUCCCCCACACUGGUACUGAGACACGGACCAGACUCCUACGGGAGGCAGCAGUGAGGAAUAUUGGUCAAUGGGAGAGAUCCUGAACCAGCCAAGCCGCGUGAGGGAAGACGGCCCUAUGGGUUGUAAACCUCUUUUGUCGGAGAACAAAACCCGGGACGUGUCCCGGACUGCGUGUAUCCGAAGAAAAAGCAUCGGCUAACUCCGUGCCAGCAGCCGCGGUAAUACGGAGGAUGCGAGCGUUAUCCGGAUUUAUUGGGUUUAAAGGGUGCGUAGGCGGUCCGUUAAGUCAGCGGUAAAAUUGCGGGGCUCAACCCCGUCGAGCCGUUGAAACUGGCAGACUUGAGUUGGCGAGAAGUACGCGGAAUGCGCGGUGUAGCGGUGAAAUGCAUAGAUAUCGCGCAGAACUCCGAUUGCGAAGGCAGCGUACCGGCGCCAGACUGACGCUGAGGCACGAAAGCGUGGGGAUCGAACAGGAUUAGAUACCCUGGUAGUCCACGCAGUAAAC
rnacentral:rRNA from 1 species